GGAAACAACUAUUACGCGUAGGAUUGCAUGUUCUAUUGAUGCUUCAUCUCAUUGGUAUGGCAAUGGGUGGGUAUUCUGUAGGAUUGCUAUUAAAAAGGUGUCCUGAAUAGUACAAAAUGAAAUGAGAUUUUAGGUUGAGCACUUUAUAUUUAUUUUGUUCCCUUUUUCUUUUCUUUAUUCUUCUUUUGCUACCCAAAUAUAUUAGGAUUGAGAUGUUGUUGUUGGGGUAGGAAAUAGUGGC
rnacentral:lncRNA from 1 species